AUGGAAGAGAAGAAACCCAAGGUUAAUUAUGAGAUGCCUGCAGGAGGGCAGCAACGGAAUAAAUGUACUGAAAGUAGGUGGUUAUCAGAGAUGCUGAAUUCAUGCUCAGUGCUGAUAACUUCGCUGCAGAUCAGAGCUGAGCAGAUACACAGAAUGUUCUUGAGCUUAGACACACAGAUCCUUGGGAAACAUAGGUAUGGCUAUUCUCUUGCGUCCUGUUCAGUUUCAUGUUUCUUGGAUCGUCUUUUCCGCACGUUCAACUUCAAGCUCCAAUCAUGGGUUUUGUCAACUGGGAGUGUGUGCACUAAGCCAGGGGCGACCAGGAACUCUCACACUAACAGGGUUCUAUCAAGAUUCCCUGUUUUUGUCCAUGAAAUUGGUGUGAUGAGUCAAACUCUUUUGUUCUGUACCAUCCUUACUAGACAUUCGUUUGCAACUGAACCUAGAAGAAAUUUAAUUCACUGGUCAAUUUUGUAUCUAUGGCAUUGA
rnacentral:rRNA from 1 species